rnacentral:rRNA from 1 species
UGCGUAGGUGGUAAUGUAUGUCGGAUGUGAAAUCCCGAGGCUCAACUUCGGAAUUGCAUCCGAAACUGCAUAACUUGAGUGCAGGAUGGGAGAGCGGAAUUCUUGGUGUAGCGGUGAAAUGCGUUGAUAUCAAGAAGAACACCGGUGGCGAAGGCGGCUCUCUGGAAUGUUACUGACACUGAGGCACGAAAGCUGGGGGAGCAAACAGGAUUAGAUACCCUGGUAGUCC